UUAUUUGGCUGAUGGUUCUGCAGGCUGUAUAAGAAGCAUGGUGCCAGCAUCUACUUCUGGUGAGGAUUUUACGGAGCUUCCCCACUCAUAGCGGAAGGUGAAGGGGAGCUGGUGUGUGUGGAAACCACAUGGCCAGAGAGGAAGCAAGAGAUGGGGCAGGCACCAGGCUCAUUUUAACAACCAGCUCUGGUGAGAACGAAUAGAGUGAGAACUCACUCACUGCCCCGCCCACACACAGGGAGGGCAAUCAUCUAUUCAUGAGGGAUCUGCCCCAUGACCCAAACACCUCCCAUUAGACCCCACCUCCAACACUGGGAAUCAAAUUUCAACAUGAGAUUUGGAGAGAUCAAACAUCCAAACUAUUGCACUCAGGUUUCCUUAUCUUCCUCCCUGACUCACCAUCACACCAUCCCACUGUACCAUGAUGCCUACAGAAUUUCACAUUGCAGGUAAAUUUCUCCAGGAGCAGCACAUGAAUCCAGUACCAAUAUUUUAUCAAAUAUUUAUUUUUCAGAGACUAAGGCCAGGCAGUAUUGACUCGGAAGGCUGUGUGGGAGCUGGAGAACCAGGGUGUUGCUCUUUGGCCCAGGCUGAAGGGAGUACAGUGGUACCACCGUAGUUCACCGCAGCCUGCAAUUCGUGGAUUCAGGCCACCUUCCCACCUCAGCCUCUUGAGUAGCUGGGACUACAGGUUCCUAGAUGCUGGCAAUGCCAGGAUGGAUGAAUUACUUUCCUUGGCCCGGAGAGCCUCACCGUCUAGAAAGAGAUACAGACGUGCAAAUAAUUGCAAGAGAUUCCUCCAGGCAGCUGAGUGCACCUUCUGCAUACCUUUGAUAUCUAAUAUUCAAGUCAUAUCCCAGCCCUUGCUCCCCACAAGCAGACAGAACCAAGAAUUCUUCAACCUCUUCUGUCCUGAGACCCUGCCUGGGGCUCUCCUGAUUCUCUCAGCCACCAAGCUCACCUCCCAGUCUGUACUUUGGGCUUUUCCUCUCUCUGCAGGUAUGAAGUGGUCUACUCUGUUGCCGCAUCUUGUCUUGGGCUCUAUUAGGGGCUGAACCAUGUCCCCCACAAUCAAUCCUGAGUACCUCUGAAUGUAACCAUAUUUGGAGAUAAGAUCUUUAACGAGGUGAUUAAGUCAAAAUGAGGCCUUUAGGGUGGGGACCUAAUCCAAUAUGACUGGUGUCCUUACAAAAGAAGAGCCACCCGGGAUGCAUGCCUGCAUCACACACAGAAAAGGCCAUGUGGGGACGCAGGGAGAAGGCGGCCGGCUGCAAGCCAAGGAGAGAGGUCUCGGGAGAAACCAACACUGCCAAAAUCUUGAUCUUGGACUUCUAGCCUCCAGAACUGUGAGAAGGGUUUCUGGCUGAUAAAGGUAUAUAGGAGGUUCUGAAAUGUUAUUGAGUGAAUGAAUAAAUUAGCACUAGAAAAAAAGCAUGGACUUUGGAAGAGGACCAGAAUUUAAAACCAGACUAGAAGUGUAGAGUUGGGGGAACUCAACCCAUUUCCCACCACUUCCAUCGACCUCCUGUGGCAUCCUAAUGUUCAGAAGGAGAAGAACAUUCUAGAAGGAGAACAAAAUUCUAUCAGCAAGAAGUAUAAUACUCUUGUGCCAAAGGUGUGCACAAUCAGCCAAGUGACCUGAGAAAUGCAAGUCCUGGCUCUAUUGAGGUCAUCAAGGAGAAAGCAAGCCGCUGGCAAGUCAGGAAUCUGUCUCAAAGUAAACAUGUGGCUUGUGACCUUGAGGAUGUGCGUAUGUUUAUUGUUGGGGCAGUUGCUUUUUCCUUAUCUCUCACCAGCUCUCAAAAGACCUGUUUAAGUUUUCUGUAAGAGGAUAUAUCUCAUGUGCAGUUGCAAAUAUGCUUCUUUAUUCUUCUCUGGCUAAUAAUUAUCAAAGUUACAGUCAUGAAUAUUCACCUUCUCAGGCUGCUCUGUCAGAGAUUUUUCUGGGUGGGCAUGGUGGUUCACACCUGUAAUUCCAGCACUUUGGGAGGCGGAGGUGGGCGGAUCAUUUGAGGUCACGAGUUCAAGACCAGCCUGGACAACAUGGUGAAACCUCGUCUCUACUAAAAAUACAAAAAUUAGCCAGGCGUGGUGGUGUGGGCCUGUAAUUACCACUACUCAGGAGGCUGAGGCAGGAGAAUCACUUGAACCUGAGAGGUGGAGGUUGCAGUGUCCCAAGAUCACACCACUGCACUCCAGCCUGGGCAACAGCAUGAGACUCCACCUCAAAAAAAAAAAAGAGAUUUGUCUUAAAGCUGUGAGCCAUAAGGCUGGGCACAGUGGUUCACGUCUGUAAUCCCAGCAUUUUGGGAGGUCGAGGUGGGGGGACCGCUUGAGCCCAGAAGUUCAAGACUAGACUGGACAAUAUGGUGAGACCCUGUCUCUAUAAAAAACCAAAAAUAGCCAGGCGUGGUGGUGCAGUCUUGUAGCCCUAGCUACUCCAGAGGGUGAGGCAAGAACAUUGCUUGAGCCCUUGAGGUUGAGGCUGCAGUGAGCUGUGAUCAUGCCACUGCACUCUAGCCUGUGCGAUGGUGAACUUGUCUCAAAAAAAAAAAAACAAAAAACGCUGUGAGCCAUGUCGUUUAGAGUCUCUCAAGAAACUGUUUUUUCUGGUCUUCAUUCUUGGUGUCAAAGGCAACAAAAUAUUAUACCAAAAUACAUUCCCAUGCUUGAACAUUUCCAGUGGAAUAUAACUUGUCUCAAAAUGAGAACCAGAAAUGAUGCUUAUGUCAUCAAAUCAGUGAUUGCUAUUGCAGAAAAUAUGACAGUCUGAUUUGAAGAAAUGCUGAUCUGCUAUUAAGGGAAAGGGUGCUAUUUUAGCAUAGUUUAUUUAUUUAGAGAAAAAUCUCAUAGGUUGGCAGCUUCACACCUGUCUAUUAACCCUGCUUCCCGCAUACUUCCAUUUUGAUGUCUAGUACUGAUAAUGCAGAUUUCUUUCAAUGCUAUCAUAUUAAUAUUUCCCAACUCAGUUGACUUACAUGUCGACAAUAAACCUUGACAGCAGGUGAGGAAUAUGUUGGCUUUCUGGCCAAUAUGCUGAGCUUUUUGAGAAAUGCUUCUUUGAGGGUUAUGUGCUUUGAGUUCUGUUUAUGGUUAUGGAGAUAGAGUUUCCUCAUUCGAUUAUCAUUUAUUCAAAGUCUCUCAACUUAUUCUCUCUUAUGAUUAAUGGCAUACAUAAUGGAAAAUGUGAAGUUAUAGCUACAAUCAGGAAUAUAAAACAGCAAAAGGUUCUCUGGCCUGCCCAGAAACCAAACCUAUGACAGUCAUGUGAUUAGCCCCAUGUGUUGACCACAGGUUUAGGGAUACCUCUUAUAAAAGGACGAUUGAUAUGAAGGUGGUCUUUCUAUUGCAGCAAGGGACAGAUCCUUUCAUCUACUGAAAAUAGUGCUUUAAAGUAUACGAAUUAUUUCACUCAUUAAAGAUAACUGAACGUGAAUUCCUCAAAUAGAAACAUUUCAAGUUGUACUAGGUUGGUGCAAAAGUAAUUGCGGUUUUUGCCAUACUUUCAAUGGCAAAAUAUGAGAAAGGUAAGAACUGAUGACACCUAUGUUCAUAUGUUCUGGAAAUUAUUGCUCAGGAAGAUAUAUGUAAACCAAUAAAUAAUUUAACUGUUAAUAAUUGGCUUCAGGAGAUUCCUGCAAACUUAUUUAUCUAGGAAAACAGUUUGCUCAUGUGGGAAACCAACCCUCCUAUCAGAAACAGAUUGCUCACCUGAGAAAAAAGCUUGUGUAUCACAUCAAAAGCCUUCCCUCACUGGGUCCAUCAAUACUACACUGUUAUGUCAACAACUAUGCCUGGCAUCAAUCAGUUCCCUGUAGUGAAAAAUCAGCCUAAUGCCACUUGAGCCUGACCCCAAGUUCUAUAAAUAGCUUUUCUUGAAAUCCUCCUUCUGAGACACUAUCUGUCAAGGUGUGUUUUCCUUCGCUACAGUGAGUCUAACAAAAUUAGUUUUGGGGGAGUUGACAGUCAACAGAAGGGAGGAACUAACUAAUAUUUAUUGACUAUAGAUGUAGCUUCUCAUUAUAUGUCAAACUAUUAUAUUUUAUUAUCCGAUUCCAUUGCUAAUUUGUAUUGAACACAUUAAAUAUAUUUGCUAUAAGUCCGUGUUAAGUUCCGCUAUGACUUUGGCUAGGAGGAAGUAAAGUCUUUAUCUUGUUAUUCUGAACUCUAAGAUUCAUAGUGAAAAGCAAUAGAUAUUUGAAACUUUCUUUACUCUUAGUUAAAAAUGGUGAAAUUUUAAGGCC